CGGAAGGCUGCAUCUUACCGAGGCUGUGUCCUUCCUAGUUCAGUAUGAAGUCGUGACAUGUCGACGGAGAACAAAAACUGGAAUGUCAACACAAGAAGGUCAGAUGUGAUCUGCGAGGUCCUGCAAACAUACUGGCAAAAUGAGAUGCUAAAGUUAGAUGCUCAUCUAAUGUUGUGUUGCUGAGUCAUCAAAGAUCCCGCUUAUUAUUGGCAAAUUGGACCGUACAGAAAGCGCACAAGUGGGAGAGAGAGAAGGGGAUGGCGUCAGAAAGGACCUAGAGCUGGGACACUUUCAAGGAUCACCCGAAGCACAACC